rnacentral:pre_miRNA from 15 species
GUUGCCUUGCUUAGGCUCCUUGUGUCUGGUAGGCAGUGUACUGUUAGCUGGCUGCUUUGUGUGAAUCUAGCAGUCUCUACUACACUGUCACCUGCUGCAGGGCCAACUCCCUGUUAUUUUA